rnacentral:piRNA from 1 species
UUUUCGCAUUUAGCUAGCUCG